rnacentral:lncRNA from 1 species
UCUCUCUCUCUCUCUCUCUCUCUCCCUCUCCCUCUCCCUCUCCCUCUCUCACUAUGAGUUCGUUGGACGUUAAGGAAGAGCAGGAGAAGAAAGAGUCAGCGGAAAGGACAUCAUCUCUCUUUCAGGAAUGCUUUUGGAAGUGAAGAAGACUUGCAGGUUUCGGAGUAAGAGCAGAUGGAGGAGAGGAAGAGAGAGGGGGGGUACGGAGGAGCUUGUUUCUCCCUAGUCCUGGUCCCUUUGGUGGUCGGAAACUCAUCUGCUACUGAUGCAGUGAUGCACACCUCUUCAUAGCUGAUGAUGGGGGGUGGUGUGAGGUGUCCUUAGCUAGUGAUGGAGAGGUAGAGGGUGGACGAAUGGAGCAGAACCCAUCCUUGUUGACAAGAGGACCUGACAGCAGAUGUUUGCUGAUGCUACUGAGGGGUGGCUUUUGGCUUGUCAACUAACAACCAAGUACCAGUCCUCCAUGAACACCAUCACCUCACCUUAUACUCUCUGCCAAUCUGCUCUUCCUCUCAACACAUACGCCAAUGGCCAAUCUCUUCCCACUUUGCACCUCCCUCUACCUUGCAUGUGUAAAUCAACAUGGAGGAUAGGUUAUGGUGACCAGCUCUAAUGGUGGGUCUCUCUCUCUCUCUCUCUCUCUCUCUCUUUGUGCCUGAGUAUGGCAUACUCCACUGAGAGCUGGCAGCUGUGGAGGCUCUUCAUAGCUGUUGCUCCUUUGUAUCUUGCAGACUGGUGCUGCAGAGUUGAGAAUGGAAGUGGUCCCGAAGGUGCACAGUAUCUGGUCAUUAACUCUGUGUUCAUGGAAUUCUCUUAAGCUUUUUAGCACCUUUUACUUGAGCUGCUUAAAAGGACAUUUGCUCCCUGUUACAUUAUACUUCCCCUUCUGAAAUGUGCCUUUCAUGCUUGGUUAUGUUUACUCAGCCUGCAUUCUAACAAAGUAAACAGAUUAAAAUC